rnacentral:rRNA from 1 species
AUGCAUGGCCGGUGCAUCUAUGAGCAUGCAUGCCUCCUCGAAAGUCACGACGUGUCAUCGGAGUACAACCUGUGCUUGUGCUCGCUGCUCGAGCAGAAGCAGACAGAAACCAUGGUCAAGUACAUGCCGGCGUUCUCGGAAUGUGUACCUCGCGUGUUGGAUCUCAACCCCAACCUGAGCAUCAAGAGCUUCGUCCACCAGUACAUCGAGGGUUUGCGGGAAGAUAUCCAAUAUUUUAUGUGGUCACGAUCACCAUCAAGCAUCACCGGUGCUUCAUCGAUCCCUAGCCCGGAUAAGGGAGGAUGA